GUCAGGAUGCCGAGUGGUCUAAAGGCGCCAGACUCAAGUUCUGGUCUCCCAAUGGAGGCGUGGGUUCAAAUCCCACUCCUGACA